rnacentral:rRNA from 1 species
CCUACGGGGGACAGCAGUGGGGAAUAUUGGACAAUGUGGGAACCCCUGAUCCAGCGACGCCUCGUGAGUGAAGAAGUAUUUCGGUACGUAAAGCUCUAUCAGCAGGAAAGAAAAUGACGGUACCUGACUAAGAAGCCCCGGCUAACUACCGGCCAGCAGCCGCGGUAAUACGUAGGGGGCAAGCGUUAUCCGGCGUUACUGGGUGGAAGGGGAGCGUAGACGGCAGCGCAAGUCUUGAGUGAAAUGCCGGGGCCCAACCCCGGAACUGCUCUGGAAACUGUGAAGCUGGAGUGCAGGAGAGGUAAGUGGAAUGCCUGGUGUAGCGGUGAAAUGCGUAGAUAUCAGGAGGAACACCGGCGGCGAAGGCGGCUUACUGGACUGUAACUGACGUUGAGGCUCGAAGGCGUGGGGAGCAAACAGGAUUAGAUACCCGGGUAGUC